rnacentral:rRNA from 1 species
GUGAGGAAUAUUGGUCAAUGGACGAGAGUCUGAACCAGCCAAGUAGCGUGAAGGAUGAAGGUUCUAUGGAUUGUAAACUUCUUUUAUACGGGAAUAAACGGAUCCACGUGUGGAUUUUUGCAUGUACCGUAUGAAUAAGGAUCGGCUAACUCCGUGCCAGCAGCCGCGGUAAUACGGAGGAUCCGAGCGUUAUCCGGAUUUAUUGGGUUUAAAGGGAGCGUAGAUGGGUUGUUAAGUCAGUUGUGAAAGUUUGCGGCUCAACCGUAAAAUUGCAAUUGAUACUGGCAGUCUUGAGUACAGUUGAGGUAGGCGGAAUUCGUGGUGUAGCGGUGAAAUGCUUAGAUAUCACGAAGAACUCCGAUUGCGAAGGCAGCUUACUAACCUGUAACUGACAUUGAUGCUCGAAAGUGUGGGUAUCAAACAGGAUUAGAAACCCCAGUAGUCC